CCUACGGGGGGCAGCAGUGAGGAAUAUUGGUCAAUGGACGAGAGUCUGAACCAGCCAAGUAGCGUGAAGGAUGACUGCCCUAUGGGUUGUAAACUUCUUUUAUAAAGGAAUAAAACGAGGCACGUGUGCCUUUUUGCAUGUACUUUAUGAAUAAGGAUCGGCUAACUCCGUGCCAGCAGCCGCGGUAAUACGGAGGAUCCGAGCGUUAUCCGGAUUUAUUGGGUUUAAAGGGAGCGUAGAUGGGUUGUUAAGUCAGUUGUGAAAGUUUGCGGCUCAACCGUAAAAUUGCAAUUGAUACUGGCAGUCUUGAGUACAGUUGAGGUAGGCGGAAUUCGUGGUGUAGCGGUGAAAGGCUUAGAUAUCACGAAGAACCCCGAUUGCGAAGGCAGCUUACUAAACUGUGACUGACAUUGAUGCUCGAAAGUGUGGGUAUCAAACAGGAUUAGAUACCCUAGUAGUC
rnacentral:rRNA from 1 species